rnacentral:lncRNA from 1 species
ACAAGUAAACAUAUAACAUGAAGAAAACAAAACAAAGGACAGGAUGGAGUUACAAGUGAAGAGGGUUGCAUUGGAGGAGAAAAGAGUCAGGGGAAGGGAGAGAGGGAAGAAGCUGAGGAGAUAUAAAAUGGGGCAGCCCUUUUCGAGUAGAGAGAAGGAGGGCAGGUGUCUCGAAUGUAUGGGGGCAGCUGCCCAGCUCUAACUCCCCAACUCUUGACCGCCCUGUCUUGCUCCAUGCCUUGACUCUGAACUUCAUUCUUCUUGCCAAUCUUUCUGCCCUGCUUUCCUUUUAACUUGAUUGUUUGUGUGCAUAUAUGUUUGGUUUUUUCUUGGGUUUUAUUGGGGUUUUAGCGAUUUAGGUAAGCCCAUUUUUCUUGGGGAUAGUAAUUUUAAAUAUACUUGGUAGGGAUGAGAAAAAACCGAUUUAAAACCAAAACCGAACUGAAAUCGGGAAAAAUCGGAAAAUC